rnacentral:rRNA from 1 species
CGCGGCCUAUCAGCUUGUUGGUGAGGUAAUGGCUCACCAAGGCGAUGACGGGUAACUGGACUGAGAGGUCGAUCAGCCACAAGGGCACUGAGACACGGGCCCUACAUCUACGGAUGGCAGCAACCGGGAAUCUUCCGCAAUGGACGAAAGUCUGACGGAGCGACGCCGCGUGGAGGAUGACGGCCUUCGGGUUGUAAACUCCUUUUAUCGUACCCUUCACAGUACAUUGAAUAAGCCUUUACUAACUACGUGCCAGAAGUCUCGGUAAUACGUAGGAGGCAAGCGUUAUCCGGAUUAACUGGGCGUAAAGCGUGCGUAGGCGGUUUUGUAAGUCGUCUUUUAAAUCCUGUGGCUCAACCACAGUUUUGGAGUCGAUACUGCAUUACUUGAGGAUCGUUCGGGGUAUCGGAACAGUUGGUGUAGCGGUGAAAUGCGUUGAUAUCAACUGGAACACCGAAGGCGAAGGCAGAUACCUGGGAUUUUCCUGACGCUGAGGUACGAAAGCUAGGGUAGCGAAAGGGAUUAGAGACCCCUGUAGUCCUAGCCGUAAACGAUGGAUGCUAGCUUCGGGUGUAUGCCUGAGGCGUAAGCUAACGCGUUAAGCACCCCGCCUGGGGAGUACGG